GACGAACGCUGGCGGCGUGCUUAACACAUGCAAGUCGAACGGAGCACUUCGGUGCUUAGUGGCGAACGGGUGAGUAACGCGUGAGGAACCUGCCUUUCAGUGGGGGACAACAGUUGGAAACGACUGCUAAUACCGCAUAAUACUGUCGAAUGGCAUCAUUUGACAGUCAAAGAUUUAUUGCUGAAAGAUGGCCUCGCGUCUGAUUAGCUAGUUGGUGGGGUAACGGCCCACCAAGGCGACGAUCAGUAGCCGGACUGAGAGGUUGACCGGCCACAUUGGGACUGAGAUACGGCCCAGACUCCUACGGGAGGCAGCAGUGGGGAAUAUUGGGCAAUGGGCGAAAGCCUGACCCAGCAACGCCGCGUGAAGGAAGAAGGCCUUCGGGUCGUAAACUUCUUUUACCAGGGACGAAGAAAAUGACGGUACCUGGAGAAAAAGCAACGGCUAACUACGUGCCAGCAGCCGCAGUAACAC
rnacentral:rRNA from 1 species